rnacentral:scRNA from 1 species
UGUAAGGAAGGCGGCCAGCGCGCAGACCUCCAGCGC